AUUUAAAUAAAUAAAAAUUUAAAACAAUCAACCAAUCAAAAUAUAACAAUUUUUUUGAAACUUCACCUAUGAACAACACGUCACCAGACCUCACUAAAGUGACUUCUCUUUUAAUAUAUAGGGAGAUUAUUAUUAUUAUUGUUAUUAUUAUUAUUAUUUAGGUUCACAAAAUAUUAACUAAUUUUGUAAAAAGGUUAACAAACUAAAAAUGAACAUUGUACAGGGUUUUUGUUUUUGGGGUUUACAGUAUUGGGCUAGUCAUUAGAAUCUUUAUAUUUAAAAGAAGCUUUGGAUCCCCCCAGCUAUGCCACAUGUGCGUCCACGUCAUAAAUUGGACUUUCCUGCACGCGACACGUGUCGCAGUUGAAUGAAACUCACCGUUUCAUUUACUCUAAAAUCGAAUGGGCUUUAAUUGUUGAGCUUAUAUAUUCAGUGUUUUGGGCUGAUAAAUGUUUAUGGUUUAGUCAGGCCGACGGCCCAUCAACAACCUGAGUUAUUCUUUCUUUUGUGAAACCAAGCGUCACCCUCGACGGAUCCGUUUCUCUGCAAUUAGUCUGACGGAGUAACUCAUAGUGAUGAUGGUGGCAAUCAAUUCACUCCACUACAUGUUCUUCAAUGCAGAUUUUCCACUUUCCUUAUCAAGUGAUUGCACUAUAUAUAUUUAUCUACGUCUUAGAGCGAACUCGCAAAUCUUCGUGAAAUCAUAGUCGUGCAGAAUAUCAGCAGAAGAAUAUCCAGAAAUGACGAUUACUGAGAUCCAAUUAUCCGAUCUGGAGGUUGAUCGUUGCAAGGAGGACGUUGUAACAUGUUUAGAGCUACGGAUGUGAAAAGGGGGGAGAGCUCAUGGGUGUGGACUGGGUUUUCCUUGAUGAAAAGCACCUGUUGAAGGAAGGAGGAAUCUAUGAGAUGCGCGUAUUUGAUGUCGUAAGAAGUAAUGGCCACUUCAAAUUGUUGGCCUCAUUAGGUUCUAUUCGCUUUGACGACCAGACCAAGUUUGUUGAGCUUGCUGAAACAACAGCCUUCAUCCCAACUGAACAGUUUAGGUUUUGGAAAUAGCAGCUAAUGGCGUUGGCUAACACAAACGUCGACUUGCCAGGUUUGUCAUGAAUGUAUCAGCGGGACCUUCAUGGUUUGCGAAGAUAGAGGGAGGUAUUAAAACACAUCUUCAGUAAACACUUACACAAACACUUCAGCUAAGAUUCUAUGUGUUCUCCAUGUUUUAAUGUUUCAAAGGCUAUGGAUCAAGAGGACAUGGUUAAAAGAUAAAUAUAUUACAACCCCUUUACUACAGCAUUAAAAAAUUGGACAAGUUGCAGGUUUGGAAUCAUGUUCCUAAUCUCUGGAUUUAAGUACACGUUGUAUAUAAAGUUUCCAUGAUCGAAAACCUUUUGAGUAACGUGUUUGGACACAGCUCACCUCAGAAAAGCUGUGAGACUAGGUAGGAAUCAAAUGAGAGACUCAAAAAGGUUUCCACCUACUAGCACGGAUAUAAAUGGUCAACCAACCUUCUUCAACCAAUUCGUCGUUUUUCACACCAUUUGUCUGCAUUUUUUUACAUGUAGUUCCAUUCUGCAGGUCGCCAUCACCUUUUUCCACAUGCACAUGUAAUUCCCGGAGAAAUGAAGAGUUUAAAAGUCUUUGUCCAAACUUCUGAGAACCGGAUAUACCAACUCUUUCACUUUGUUAAAUGCAAAUAUUUUGUUUUUUUUUAAGUUUCAUUAAUCAUCACCUGUAAAAAGUGAAACAAAAAGUCCAUAACAGGAAUUACAAGUUGGGAGA